rnacentral:rRNA from 1 species
UACGUAGGGUCCGAGCGUUGUCCGGAAUUACUGGGCGUAAAGCGCGCGCAGGCGGCCCGCGAGGUGUCACGUGAAAGCCCCGGGCUCAACCCGGGAGGGUCGUGGCAAACCGGCGGGCUUGAGGCCGGUAGAGGUGGGUGGAACUCCUGGUGGAGUGGUGAAAUGCGUAGAGAUCAGGAAGAACACCCGUGGCGAAGGCGGCUCACUGGGCCGGUACUGACGCUGAGGCGCGAAGGCGUGGGGAGCGAACGGG